CCUGUUGCACAAAAGUAGAAUUAAGACAUCCGGGAUAAAUGACUCAGCUGAGCUCAAUGAAGCCAAAACAUGUGCGUCCAGGCUUAAUUGGUUGCACAAAGACCAAGCCAGGAUGAGCAGACACGGAUUCAUUAAGCCAGGUGAAACCAAUCCUGGAUAGGUGCGCGCUCACGGCUCACUCAAAUAGACCCCGCCACAGAUCACAGAUUAACUGAUUUACCAUGGCAACUAGAGCCGCGUACUUUUCCCCGUCGGAAGCACAAAUCCUCAUGGAGGCAUACGAGGAGGUAAAAGAUAUAAUUAAGAAGAAAGGCAACACCGCCACAGUGAUAAAGCAAAGAGAAAAAGCGUGGCAAAGUAUUGCAGACCGCCUGAAUGCGUAAGUAGUGCACAAUUACACAGUCACCGCUCCGCUGAAACAUCACAAUUACAAUUCAAAUAUUUAAUUCACAUCUCCAAAAAUGCAGUUGUACUGUAAUUAUGAAACGGUUAAAUUUUUAAUUGAAAUGCACUGCAGAUAUGAGUGAAAUUGUGUAAAGUAACUCCAUCACACUGUAUAAAGCUAUGAUACAUUUUUUGAUAUUUUUACUGAAAACAAGACAAAAAUACCAAGUAAUUUUUUGCAGUGUGACUCCAUUAAAUGUGUGUGUGUGUGUGUGUGUAGAUGAAACAUGAACGGGCCAAAACGGACAUGGCAACAGGUCAAAAUCAAAUACAAGAACAUUCUGCAGAAUGCAGUGAAAAAGAAUACCCACAGACAAGGCACGGGUGGUGGGUCACCAAAGGCUGACCUUACCCCAGCAGAGGACAUGGCCUUGGAGCUAAAUAAAGGCAGGCCCGUCUUAGAGGGGAUCCCUGGGGGGAAAGAGACGAGCAUAGGUUCCUCCCAAGAUGCCACCCACUUCAUUCAAGUGUCUGGCAGCACUGUUCCUGUUAGAGCCACCAGCACAAGCACCAGACGAUGCUGAUCCAGGUGAAGGCCCCAGUGCAGCAGCAACAGCACAGGAGACGAUGAUGAGGAGGAGACCAUCUCUCUGGAUUCCAGAAGGCAUGAGGACCCAGAUGCUAUACAGUGGGAAAACCAGCCUGGCAACAUAAGCUCACAAGCUAUCAGAAAGUUGUAUGGCAACCACCUCCGGCGCCAAAUAGAACUGGCAGACAUAGACAUUCAGUACAAGAAGAAAAAGAUGGAAAAUCUUGCACUGGAGUCCGAAAUAAAAAAGAGGACAAUUAGGAAACUGGACCUUGAAAUAAAAAAACUUGAGAGGGAGCUCCAAGAAGAUGACACAGCUCAAAAUAAAAAUUUGGUAUAUUCUCGUAAAGUCAAGUGAGCCAUGACAUAUGAGCUCUUAUUGUGAGCACACAGGACGGUGGCAUCUUUCUAAGUUUUUUUUUAUUUUCCCAGCAAUCAGUACAACCAAGUCAUCGUUAUAAGGCAUCGCCCUCUUUUGCCCACCCCCCCAGCACCAGGUGUGGCCACUAGCCUAUAUGAAGGCCCAAAAUUGUGUGUUCCUUUCUGCUCUGACAAUGGCAUGCCCAUUCGUGCGAGAUGUGGUGGAUGAAGAAGCACUUGUGCUGAGGAGAGCCUUCAGGCGAGAAAGGGUCUUCAGGGACCGGUUGGACCCACUGGCCUUCCCUGAUGACCAUCUAUAUGAAAGAUACAGGUUUUCUGCAGAUGGCAUCAGGUAUCUAUGCAGACUACUGUGUCCCAGGAUUAAGCACCGCACUGCACGGAGCCAUGCACUGAGUGUGGAGCAAAUGGUUUGUGUGGCCUUGCGCUUUUUUGCUAGUGGAGCCUUCCUGUACUCAGUGGGGGAUGCAGAACAGCUGAACAAGGCCACAAUUUGCCGCACAAUAAGGAGUGUGUGUCUGGCUAUCAAAGCAUUAGCAGAUGUCUUCAUCUCCUUCCCUGGCCACAGAAGACUCUGUGACAUCAAAGAG